rnacentral:rRNA from 1 species
AUAGCGUAUAUUUAAGUUGUUGCAGUUAAAAAGCUCGUAGUUGGAUUUCGGUUAAGAGCGACCGGUCCGCCGUUUGGUGUGCACUGGUUGGUUUUAACUUCCUGUAGAGGACGUGCUCUGGGCUUAACGGUCUGGACUCGGAGUCUACGUGGUUACUUUGAAAAAAUUAGAGUGUUCAAAGCGGGCUUACGCUUGAAUAUUUCAGCAUGGAAUAACACUAUAGGACUCCUGUCCUAUUUCGUUGGUCUCGGGACGGGAGUAAUGAUUAAGAGGAACAGUUGGGGGCAUUCGUAUUUCAUUGUCAGAGGUGAAAUUCUUGGAUUUAUGAAAGACGAACUUCUGCGAAAGCAUUUGCCAAGGAUGUUUUCAUUAAUCAAGAACGAAAGUUGGGGGCUCGAAGAUGAUUAGAUACCAUCCUAGUCUCAACCAUAAACGAUGCCGACUAGGGAUUGGCGGAUGUUAAUUGAUGACUCCGCCAGCACCUUAUGAGAAAUCAAAGUUUUUGGGUUCCGGGGGGAGUAUGGUCGCAAGGCUGAAACUCAAAGU